AACGAACGUUGGCGGCGUGGAUUAGGCAUGCAAGUCGAACGAAUCCCAGGGGGCUUGCUCUCUGGGGGAAGUGGCGAAAGGGGCAGUAAGGCGUGGGCAACCCACCCCGAGGACCGGGAUAGCCAUCCUAACGGAUGGGUAAUACCGGGCGUGGUAGCGUGAGGGCAUCCUUGUGCUACAAAAUGAGUUUCGCCUCGGGACGGGCUCACGUGGUAUUAGCUUGUUGGUGAGGUAACGGCUCACCAAGGCCAAGAUGCCUAGCGGGUGUGAGAGCACGACCCGCGCCACUGGCACUGAGACACUGGCCAGACUCCUACGGGAGGCUGCAGUCGAGGAUCUUCGGCAAUGGGCGCAAGCCUGACCGAGCGACGCCGCGUGUGCGAUGAAGGCCUUCGGGUUGUAAAGCACUGUCGAGGGGGAGGAAAGCCCGCAAGGGUCUGACCUAUCCCUGGAGGAAGCACGGGCUAAGUUCGUGCCAGCAGCCGCCGUAACAC
rnacentral:rRNA from 1 species